rnacentral:rRNA from 1 species
UUAAGCGACUAAGCGUACACGGUGGAUGCCCUGGCAGUCAGAGGCGAUGAAGGACGUGCUAAUCUGCGAUAAGCGUCGGUGAGGUGAUAUGAACCGUUAUAACCGGCGAUUUCCGAAUGGGGAAACCCAGUGUGUUUCGACACACUAUCAUUAACUGAAUCCAUAGGUUAAUGAGGCGAACCGGGGGAACUGAAACAUCUAAGUACCCCGAGGAAAAGAAAUCAACCGAGAUUCCCCCAGUAGCGGCGAGCGAACGGGGAGGAGCCCAGAGCCUGAAUCAGUGUGUGUGUUAGUGGAAGCGUCUGGAAAGGCGCGCGAUACAGGGUGACAGCCCCGUACACAAAAAUGCACAUAUUGUGAGCUCGAUGAGUAGGGCGGGACACGUGGUAUCCUGUCUGAAUAUGGGGGGACCAUCCUCCAAGGCUAAAUACUCCUGACUGACCGAUAGUGAACCAGUACCGUGAGGGAAAGGCGAAAAGAACCCCGGCGAGGGGAGUGAAAAAGAACCUGAAACCGUGUACGUACAAGCAGUGGGAGCCUCUUAAUGGGGUGACUGCGUACCUUUUGUAUAAUGGGUCAGCGACUUAUAUUCUGUAGCAAGGUUAACCGAAUAGGGGAGCCGAAGGGAAACCGAGUCUUAACUGGGCGUUAAGUUGCAGGGUAUAGACCCGAAACCCGGUGAUCUAGCCAUGGGCAGGUUGAAGGUUGGGUAACACUAACUGGAGGACCGAACCGACUAAUGUUGAAAAAUUAGCGGAUGACUUGUGGCUGGGGGUGAAAGGCCAAUCAAACCGGGAGAUAGCUGGUUCUCCCCGAAAGCUAUUUAGGUAGCGCCUCGUGAAUUCAUCUCCGGGGGUAGAGCACUGUUUCGGCAAGGGGGUCAUCCCGACUUACCAACCCGAUGCAAACUGCGAAUACCGGAGAAUGUUAUCACGGGAGACACACGGCGGGUGCUAACGUCCGUCGUGAAGAGGGAAACAACCCAGACCGCCAGCUAAGGUCCCAAAGUCAUGGUUAAGUGGGAAACGAUGUGGGAAGGCCCAGACAGCCAGGAUGUUGGCUUAGAAGCAGCCAUCAUUUAAAGAAAGCGUAAUAGCUCACUGGUCGAGUCGGCCUGCGCGGAAGAUGUAACGGGGCUAAACCAUGCACCGAAGCUGCGGCAGCGACACUAUGUGUUGUUGGGUAGGGGAGCGUUCUGUAAGCCUGUGAAGGUGUACUGUGAGGUAUGCUGGAGGUAUCAGAAGUGCGAAUGCUGACAUAAGUAACGAUAAAGCGGGUGAAAAGCCCGCUCGCCGGAAGACCAAGGGUUCCUGUCCAACGUUAAUCGGGGCAGGGUGAGUCGACCCCUAAGGCGAGGCCGAAAGGCGUAGUCGAUGGGAAACAGGUUAAUAUUCCUGUACUUGGUGUUACUGCGAAGGGGGGACGGAGAAGGCUAUGUUGGCCGGGCGACGGUUGUCCCGGUUUAAGCGUGUAGGCUGGUUUUCCAGGCAAAUCCGGAAAACCAAGGCUGAGGCGUGAUGACGAGGCACUACGGUGCUGAAGCAACAAAUGCCCUGCUUCCAGGAAAAGCCUCUAAGCAUCAGGUAACAUCAAAUCGUACCCCAAACCGACACAGGUGGUCAGGUAGAGAAUACCAAGGCGCUUGAGAGAACUCGGGUGAAGGAACUAGGCAAAAUGGUGCCGUAACUUCGGGAGAAGGCACGCUGAUAUGUAGGUGAAGCGACUUGCUCGUGGAGCUGAAAUCAGUCGAAGAUACCAGCUGGCUGCAACUGUUUAUUAAAAACACAGCACUGUGCAAACACGAAAGUGGACGUAUACGGUGUGACGCCUGCCCGGUGCCGGAAGGUUAAUUGAUGGGGUUAGCGGUAACGCGAAGCUCUUGAUCGAAGCCCCGGUAAACGGCGGCCGUAACUAUAACGGUCCUAAGGUAGCGAAAUUCCUUGUCGGGUAAGUUCCGACCUGCACGAAUGGCGUAAUGAUGGCCAGGCUGUCUCCACCCGAGACUCAGUGAAAUUGAACUCGCUGUGAAGAUGCAGUGUACCCGCGGCAAGACGGAAAGACCCCGUGAACCUUUACUAUAGCUUGACACUGAACAUUGAGCCUUGAUGUGUAG